AUCAAUAAAACUUUUCCAAAAGAAAAAUCUGUUCUUAUCAGUUUAAUAUCUGAUACGUCCCCUAUCUGGGGACCAUAUAUUAAAUUGAUUUUUGGAACAGGGAGAUGGAAUAGGGGCUUGCUCCGUCCACUCCACGCAUCGACCUGGUAUUGCAGUACCUCCAGGAACGGUGCACCCCCU
rnacentral:snRNA from 1 species